UAGGGAAUUUUCGUCAAUGGGGGGAACCCUGAACGAGCAAUGCCGCGUGUGUGAAGAAGGUCUUCGGAUCGUAAGGCACUGUUGUAAGUGAAGAAUGCCAUAUAGAGGAAAUGCUAUGUGGGUGACGGUAGCUUACCAGAAAGCCACGGCUAACUACGUGCCAGCAGCCGCGGUAAUACGUAGGUGGCAAGCGUUAUCCGGAAUCAUUUGGCGUAAAGGGUGCGUAGGUGGCACGAUAAGUCUGAAGUAAAAGGCAACAGCUCAACUGUUGUAUGCUUUGGAAACUGUCGAGCUAGAGUGCAGAAGAGGGCGAUGGAAUUCCAUGUGUAGCGGUAAAAUGCGUAGAUAUAUGGAGGAACACCAGUGGCGAAGGCGGUCGCCUGGUCUGUAACUGACACUGAUGCACGAAAGCGUGGGGAGCAAAUAGGAUUAGAUACC
rnacentral:rRNA from 1 species